GUAGUCCACGCCGUAAACGAUGGAUGCUAGCCGUUGGUAAGCAUGCUUAUCAGUGGCGCAGCUAACGCAUUAAGCGUCCCGCCUGGGGAGUAUGGCCGCAAGGUUGAAACUCAAAGGAAUUGACGGGGGCCCGCACAAGCGGUGGAGCAUGUGGUUUAAUUCGACGCAACGCGAAGAACCUUACCUGGGUUUGAACUGCGGUGGACCGCUCCAGAGAUGGAGCUUCCCUUCGGGGCUGCCGUGGAGGUGCUGCAUGGCUGUCGUCAGCUCGUGUCGUGAGAUGUUGGGUUAAGUCCCGCAACGAGCGCAACCCUCGCUCCCAGUUGCCAGCGGUUCGGCCGGGGACUCUGGGGGGACUGCCGGCGUUAAGCCGGAGGAAGGUGGGGACGACGUCAAGUCAUCACGGCCCUUACGUCCAGGGCGACACACGUGCUACAAUGCCCGGUACAACGCGUCGCGAACCUGCGAAGGGGAGCCAAUCGCGAAAAGCCGGGCUAAGUUCGGAUUGUAGUCUGCAACUCGACUGCAUGAAGCCGGAAUCGCUAGUAAUCGCGGAUCAGCCACGCCGCGGUGAAUA
rnacentral:rRNA from 1 species